GAUGAACGCUGGCGGCGUGCCUAAUACAUGCAAGUCGAGCGAAGCGGGGACGGGUGAGUAAAACGAGGAUAACCUCCUAUAAGACUGGGAUAACUUCGGGAAACCGGAGCUAAACCGGAUAAUUAUAGAUGGAUCCGCGCUGCAUUAGCUAGUUGGUAAGGUAACGGCAUACCAAGGCAACGAUGCAUAGCCGACCGGCGAGGGAGAUCGGACACACUGUACCUGAGACACGGUCCAGACCCCUACGGGAGGCAGCAGGAGGGAAUCUUCCGCAAUGGGCGAAAGCCUGACAGAGCAACGCCGCGUGAGUGAUGAAGGUCUUCGGAUCGUAAAACUCGGUUAUUAGGGAAGCGGUACCUAAUCAGAAAGCCACGGCUAACUACGUGCCAGCAGCCGCGGUAAUAG
rnacentral:rRNA from 1 species